CGUAGUCUGCCAUACGCAGGAAGACCCGCUGAACUGAAGCAUCUCAUUAAGCGGAGGAAAAGAAACUAACUAGGAUUCCCUUAGUAAAGGCGAUCGAAAAGGGAACAGCCCAACGUCUUAAUCCCGCAAGGGAAAUGUAGUCGGUUCACCUAUUGCACUGGUCUAAGUCAGAUGGAAUGCUGCGCGAUUCAGAGUAAAAGCCUCGUAUGACCAACCGCAAGCUUACGAUGGACCGGGGAGAGUCGGAUACUUUGAGAGUAGUGUCUUAAGGGGGUGGUAUGUCCCAUCCAAGGCUAAAUAACGUGAGGAGACCGAUAGAUUACAAGUAGUGUGAACGAAAGAUGAAAAGAACUCUAAAACAGAGGGUGAAAAGUUCCUGAACUUGCUUAGGGUUAAGGCUAUUUAUAGUACCCGUCUUGAAACACGGAUUAGGGAGUUUAUCUGUAGUGCGAGUCUUUGCACGUUAACUGUAAAGGCGUAGAGAAAGCAACUGGCGUUUGCAUGGCUACUGAGCAUUACUGAUAGGACCCGAAAGGUGGUGAACUUUGCCUGCACAGGUUGAAGUCAGGGGAAACUCUGAUGGAGGACCGUACGGGUUAUUGAUGUGCAAAUCAUUUUUCUGAUGUAGGUAAAGGUGCGAAAGACUCAUCGAACCACCUAAUAGCUGGUUUCCUCCGAAGUUUCCCUCAGGAUAGCUGUAAUGCAUUUAGUUAAGGGGAGUAGAGAUAUGGGUAGAGGUGCAGGGAGCCUUCGGGUUCUCAACUUAUUUCCAAACUUCGAACCUCCUUGUUAGGCAUUUACCUAACUGGAAAUGCUUAAAUGAAUUAGCGUUACAAGUGGGCUCUGACCGGUAAGCGGUCAUGGCGAAAUGGGAUGAACCAUACGUCUGAAUAAGGUGCCGAAAUGUACUAUCACUGAUACCAUAAAGGGAGUCCAUGUAUUUAGACAGCAGGUCGGUGCCCCUAAAAGCAGGUAUCCGCUAAAGAGUGUGUUAAAACUCACCUGCCGAAUACUAGGGCCCCGAAAAUGAAUGGCGCAUAUAGUACUACCGAUCUCAGACAUCAGUUCUAUUGAACUGAGAGUAGGGGGAUGUGGACAUUUUUGUGAAGGUGCAAUGUGAGUUGGACUGGAAGAAUGUCUAUUACAGAUCCUAAUUGAAGUAGCGAUUAUCCAGGCUUGUAUCCUGGGGGCUGAUGAGGAGUAGGGUUUCUGGACAACUUAAACAGAUCCAGAGUUAGUCGAUCCUAAUCUCAAUAAUGGGAGAAAGGGAGUACAGUUGAUAUUCUGUAACUGACAACAGUUCGCGGCAACGCAUACUAUUUUUCUCCGCCAAUCUUAUACCGUUGGUAGGGAUCUCUUUCCUACAUGACAGUACUAAUACCCAGGGAAACUGGUCAUCAGGCGAACUGCGGCGUUCUGCUGGCAAAACAUAGCUUCGGUUAUGUCAAUGGCUAUUGGAUUGGUCCAUGAAGCGAAAAAUAGUUUACUGUGUCACUCGUACCGAUAACCGCAUCAGGUCUUCUAGGUAAGUAGCCUAUGGCCAUUGAGGCAUGAUAGUUCAGGGAAUUCGGCCAAUUAGAGCUGUAACUUCGGGAUAAAGCUUGGCUCUGAUGAAAAUCAGAACCG
rnacentral:rRNA from 1 species